UAGGCUGAAGUCCGCUGGCUUGGGCGCCUAGUUGUUAAUUAGUUUUUUACGGGAUCGAGGCCCGUUGGUCUAG
rnacentral:tRNA from 1 species